CUUAUCUCCUGCGGUUCACCAUCCUGUAUUUAGAAGACGCUUCAGAUAAACGAAUUACACAUUAGCAUGGGCUCUGCUUCCAGAUAUCUUUGUACAACCUGUUCCUUCUGGCCAGAGAGGUCCUCUUGCUUCUUCUCCUUCCCUACUUCUUCACCAGCCAGGCUAGCCCACAAAACAUUCCUACACACACACACAUACACACACACAAGUUCUCGCUGCUUUCUUUUCUCAAGACUUAUCUUCUACAUGCCAACUGGUAUCCCAGGGUUCUUUGUAAUAUAGCCAUCACCUCCUUGAAUACUGGAGCUGUGUACCACCAUUUGGGUACCCCUUCUCACCCUGCUACACGUGGCACAGUGCAUAUUGCACAUGGAGUGACCCAUCCUUCAUUUGAAGCUACCCUUUUUUUGGAAAACUAUUCUAGCCCAUAUGAAUUAAUCUCUGUAUGCCUUUUUAACAAUGAGGAAAAUGUCAAUGCAGGUGAGUGUCACUCUUACCAGGGUUAAUGAGGCAUUAACCCCAGUAACAGCCAAGCAAACCAGGUGCUUAAAAAUCCUGAGGAGGGGUAUAAGGGGGAAAAAAAGAAAAGAAGCCUAAAUACAAGUGGACUUUUAGAAUAGACCUUGGGAAAGGAGAUGCUGAGAGAAAGCAAAUCCAGGUCUUUUAACUGUCUUCCUGUGUCUGUUAGGAGGGAGAAAGCUCACAUCCAAAUAAGGGGGACCGAGGGACUUCCCUGGCGGUCCAGUGCUUAGGACUCCGCGCUUUCACUGCCGAGGGUGCAGGUUCAGUCCCCGGUCGGGGAACUAAAAUCCCACAAGCCAAGUGGCCAAGAAAGAACCCCACAAAUAAGGGGAACCGAGCAUGUGUGCGUCAGCACAAAAUUAGCAUGGGCAGAGCUAAGGCUAUCAGACAAAUUGGAAUUGCAGGCUGAGUCGGUUAAAAACAGUCUGCACUUGGUUGUUUGUCCUUUUUAAGCACGCACAGAUUUCUUCUGGGACAGUAGUAGGAACCAGCAGACGAAGCGUAAUAACUGCAAGUCUUAAACUCAGAAAGACCAAGAACACCUGGCUCAAGGAAAAGACAGAAAAAUUAUGGCCCUCCUUUACCAUAAAGGAUGCAACUUCUAAGCAUUAACUUGAAGCCCAAGGAAGAACAGAUCGCCUGAGCAAGAGAUGGAAAAUGAUCCUACCUGCACUUGGAAUAAGAUUUAAAUUAGCAGAGAAACUGGAUUUAUUGUCUUCUUGGGCAUGGCACUGCUUCCCAAUUCUAUUAUCUGGUGUUAUAAGAGGUAAGAAGAUAUGGAAAAUGUACAGAACGUGAACAGAACUUUAAGAGUAUUCAUCAAGAGUAUGAAGAUACAUCAUUUAUAAAAACACCACCACGGUCAAAAGACAUUAGCCAGUACAAAACUAAGGGUACUACAGGUGUCAAUACCUAUGUGUAGUUAAUUCAGUACCUUGCAUUAUUCUAUAGCCAUCAAUUCUGCUUUGUAUCAUUCUGUAUUCAUCGAUUUUCUGCAUUUUCAUAAGCCAUAAAUAAAAAUUUGUUUCCCUUUUUCAUGCCUGUUCUCCCAAAAACAACCUUCUA